GACGAACGCUGGCGGCGUGCCUAAUACAUGCAAGUCGAACGCUUCUUUCCUCCCGAGUGCUUGCACUCAUUUGGAAAGAGGAGUGGCGGACGGGUGAGUAACACGUGGGUAACCUACCCAUCAGAGGGGGAUAACACUUGGAAACAGGUGCUAAUACCGCAUAACAGUUUAUGCCGCAUGGCAUAAGAGUGAAAGGCGCUUUCGGGUGUCACUGAUGGAUGGACCCGCGGUGCAUUAGCUAGUUGGUGAGGUAACGGCUCACCAAGGCCACGAUGCAUAGCCGACCUGAGAGGGUGAUCGGCCACACUGGGACUGAGACACGGCCCAGACUCCUACGGGAGGCAGCAGUAGGGAAUCUUCGGCAAUGGACGAAAGUCUGACCGAGCAACGCCGCGUGAGUGAAGAAGGUUUUCGGAUCGUAAAACUCUGUUGUUAGAGAAGAACAAGGACGUUAGUAACUGAACGUCCCCUG
rnacentral:rRNA from 1 species